AGCAAUCAUAAGAUCACUUCUGGAUAAAUUUUUUUUUAUCGAGUUUCAAAAUAUGCUAAUGAUCUCACCCUUCCAAUCUUGUAAUCCCAGUCAAUUUAGUAGCGCAUUCAUCAUCUUGUAAUCCCAGUCAAUUACUUUGAUUUCAGUUUUAUUGACCAUUUUGGAACCACAUGGUUUUGGACAUCCCUCUCUAUCUCCAAAUUAGUUUUGUCAUCGGAGUCCAAUAAUGUUACAGGAUGAAAACGACAUGCUCAAAACUCAGAAUGAAGAACUCAGCAGUAAGCUGCGGCGAACCGAGGUUACUCUUUCACGUGUCAAGGAAGAGCUUGCUCGCUUCCGUGCUUCGAUUGGGAAAAAUCCCUAUGUUGUUUUUGAUGAGGAACAUCGGUUGAAUAUCAAACUGAAGGUUUGUAAACAUAACACAGCGACCAACACAAACACGCGCACCAGUAGCUAGAGAUGUGGGUAUAUAUGCUUACCAGUAAAUAGAGUUGAAGGCUAAAGAGACAGCUGAAUUUGCAACAGGAAACCGAGGAAGAGAAGGUUCAGUUAGCACAGAGGUUAUUGGGUUUACGUACAAAUUUUCUAAAGGCAGUUGGAAUUAUAACAAAACCAGUAUCCAAUGUAAGUCCCUCCGGUGCUGAAGAGGCCCUGGAGCAGCUCAAGAUUAGAUUUACGGCACUCGAAAGAGAAAUGCAAGAUUUGAAGUAUAAGAACAGAACUACCAAUGAAUGAAUCCGAUUGACGGCACUCAUGCCACAAUCUUCCCCAAUAAACUCAGCAGAUGAGAAAUAUCGAACUCCAGGAAGGGCAUCCCAAGUAGUAUUUUUUUCUGCUCUAGAUCGAUAAGCCAACUAGUGCGUCCUAAGGGAUCUGUGGUCAGCUCUUGGCUAACUAUUUUUUUAAUUGAUCCGAUGACCUGUAUAAUUUUGUUUUGGAUGAGUAAUUUUGUAUUGUAUAUUUAUUCUUUUUAUUUGGAAAAUAUUCCCAUGUAAUUAUGGUACAAUGAAAUCAGUAU